GCCCGGGUGGUGAAAUUGGUAGACACAAGGGACUUAAAAUCCCUCGGACAUAAAACGUCCGUGCCGGUUCGAUUCCGGCCCCGGGCACCA
rnacentral:tRNA from 1 species